rnacentral:rRNA from 1 species
AGCUCCAAUAGCGUAUAUUAAAGUUGUUGCGGUUAAAAAGCUCGUAGUUGGAUCUCGGCGUGCAGGGGGUGGUCUGCUUGCUAGCAGCACUUCCCCGGUUGCCCGUGUUUUUGGCAGAGGUGGUCGGGUGCUCUUCAUCGAGUGUCCGGCGACGCUGUCAACUUUACUUUGAAAAAAUUAGAGUGCUCAAAGCGGGCUUGACACGCUUGAAUAUUCGUGCAUGGAAUAAUGGAAUAGGAAGUCGUUUCUAUUUUGUUGGUUUUCGGAAAUCGACUUAAUGAUUGAUAGGGACAAUCGGGGGCAUUAGUAUUCAAACGACAGAGGUGAAAUUCUUGGACCGUUUGAAGACUAACUACUGCGAAAGCAUUUGCCAAGAGUGAUU